rnacentral:rRNA from 1 species
UUGUCUCAAAGAUUAAGCCAUGCAUGUCUCAGUACAAGCCACAUUAAGGUGAAACCGCGAAAGGCUCAUUAAAUCAGUUAUGGUUCCUUAGAUGGUACCCCCACAUUUACUUGGAUAACUGUGGUAAUUCUAGAGCUAAUACAUGCAAACAGAGUUCCGACCGGAGACGGAAGGAUACGCUUUUAUUAGAACAAAACCAAUCGGCAUUUGACAUUCUCCUUCCCUAUUCUAUACUCAACAUGAGUGUGUGUAGGGGUAAAAUGGGGGGGAUGUUACUUUUGUCGUACAUUUUUAUGAAUCUGAAUAAAUUUUUGCUGAUCGUACGGUCUUGCACCGGCGACGCAUCUUUCAAAUGUCUGCCUUAUCAACUGUCGAUGGUAGGUUCUGUGCCUACCAUGGUUGUAACGGGUAACGGGGAAUCAGGGUUCGAUUCCGGAGAGGGAGCCUGAGAAACGGCUACCACAUCCAAGGAAGGCAGCAGGCGCGCAAAUUACCCACUCCCGGCACGGGGAGGUAGUGACGAAAAAUAACGAUACGGGACUCAUCCGAGGCCCCGUAAUCGGAAUGAGUACACUCUAAAUCCUUUAACGAGUAUCAAUUGGAGGGCAAGUCUGGUGCCAGCAGCUGCGGUAAUUCCAGCUCCAAUAGCGUAUAUUAAAGUUGUUGCGGUUAAAAAGCUCGUAGUCGAAUUUGUGUCCCGUGCCGCCGGUUCAUCGUUCGCGGUGUUAACUGGCGUGUAUUGUUUUUCACGGGACGUCCUGCCGGUGGGCUUAGUCGAAACGGAUCGAUGCAGUAUACGUUGUGUUUAUAUGUGUGUGGAUUUUUAUUUCAGUUUCUCUUCCGCCGGGCAUCUGUUUGUGUGGUCACACGAGAGUGUGGCGCGCAGAGAGUGUGUUUCCGGGGGCUUGAGGCUUCUGUGUAAUUAUUUCAUAUAUUGUGUAGACGCAGUCGCGUGUAUUGUGUUCCCGCUAGACGGCCCAACUUAAAAUCCCGCCGCGGUGCUCUUUACUGAGUGUCGAGGCGGGCCGACACGUUUACUUUGAACAAAUUAGAGUGCUUAAAGCAGGCUAAAUUUUGCCUAAAUACUGUGUGCAUGGAAUAAUGGAAUAGGACCUCGGUUCUAUUUUGUUGGUUUUCGGAACGCCCGAGGUAAUGAUUAAUAGGUACGGAUGGGGGCAUUCGUAUUGCGACGUUAGAGGUGAAAUUCUUGGAUCGUCGCAAGACGGACGGAAGCGAAAGCAUUUGCCAAGAACGUUUUCAUUGAUCAAGAACGAAAGUUAGAGGUUCGAAGGCGAUCAGAUACCGCCCUAGUUCUAACCAUAAACGAUGCCAGCUAGCGAUCCGUCGACGUUCCUCCGAUGACACGACGGGCAGCUUACGGGAAACCAAAGCUUUUGGGUUCCGGGGGAAGUAUGGUUGCAAAGCUGAAACUUAAAGGAAUUGACGGAAGGGCACCACCAGGAGUGGAGCCUGCGGCUUAAUUUGACUCAACACGGGAAACCUCACCAGGCCCGGACACCGGAAGGAUUGACAGAUUGAUAGCUCUUUCUUGAUUCGGUGGGUGGUGGUGCAUGGCCGUUCUUAGUUGGUGGAGCGAUUUGUCUGGUUAAUUCCGAUAACGAACGAGACUCUGCCCUGCUAAAUAGGCGUAAAAUAACCGACAUCUCGAAGGCCCGCCAAUUAUUAAUUCUCUUCCUUUCGCGCGAUACUUCUAUUUAUUUCGGAUCAUUUGUUGGGGGAGAGGAGGAUCUUUUGUUUCUCGCAUUUGUUUGGGAGGGCAGAGGGUUUUUUUUUCUUCUACGGUGAUUGGAGGUGGUAGUUGUGUAUGUGUGGGGGUUGAGUGGUUGUGGUUGUGCGCGGUUUUUACUGUCGGCGUAUAAACAAAUCUUCUUAGAGGGACAGGCGGCUUCUAGCCGCACGAGAUUGAGCAAUAACAGGUCUGUGAUGCCCUUAGAUGUUCUGGGCCGCACGCGCGCUACACUGAAGGAAUCAGCGUGUCCUCCCUGACCGAGAGGUCCGGGAAACCCGCUGAACCUCCUUCGUGCUAGGGAUUGGGGCUUGCAAUUGUUCCCCAUGAACGAGGAAUUCCCAGUAAACGCGAGUCAUAAGCUCGCGUUGAUUACGUCCCUGCCCUUUGUACACACCGCCCGUCGCUACUACCGAUUGAAUGAUUUAGUGAGGUCUUCAGACUGGUACACGGUGGCGUUUCGACGUUGCCGAUGCUGCUGGUAAGAUGACCAAAC